rnacentral:lncRNA from 1 species
GCAAAUUUAAACUCAAAUUUUACAGCUCCAAUGGACUGCCUGCUACCAGAGAUGUGAUCCAUCUCUGGAAACCUCCACAAGCAGCAGCCUUCCCCAGUGACUGGACAGGGAUUCAAAUCAUCUCAGUUAUGGGCUUCAACAGACACCAGAAAGCUGUCUAGUACCUUGGUCAGAGCCAGCAGCCCAAGACACCUAAGGGUGACUGGUAUAAAUGAAGGUUCUACUUACAAGAUGUUCAGCUCUCCCCAGAAGGAGGGAAUCAGAGCCGUGUUUAUCUGGGACUUUCUGCUCUUCCACAUGAGAAAAUGAGAAACAUGGGAAAGUGAGACCAUGCAGCAAGCCUGAGCUCAAGACUCCCUCUUGCUCAUGCUCAUUAAAUCCUUCCUUUUGAAUGUGGCUCUGCAUCACCAUUGCUGGCUGGCAGGUAGGUGGAGAGAGUGUGCACAGCUCCAUGGAAAACUCUACCUCAGUCACCAGGCUUCUGCACCUUAGCCACUGAGGAGAAGCACCAUGGCAAGAAGGAAACCCCAGUGAGCAGGAAGCCUU